ensembl:misc_RNA 7SK 7SK RNA
GGAUGGAAGGGUGAUAUGACUGCAAUGCCGAUCACCCCACUGACGGCCAGGGUCGAUUCUGCCCUUCUGGGUAGCCUCCUAUCCACGUCACUGCUGCACGUGCUUCCUUUCUUAAGCAGCCCCUUGGCGGAGCAGGCUGGCCUUCCCAGACAGAGGAGCACCUUUCUUCAGUCUAGGGUGUGUAAGUGUCUGUGCCCCUUGCCAGAACCUUCUAGUAAACUCUAGAGGCAACUCUGUGGAAGAGUGUAGGUAGGUAAAGCUUCCAAGACUCCAGACAGAACCAAAGGAGAUGCAGAAGCAGUCUGCCUGUCAAAAAGAUAAUUU